rnacentral:rRNA from 1 species
CGCCUACGGGAGGCAGCAGUGGGGAAUACUGGACAAUGGGGGAAGCAGUGAUCCAUCCUUCACAAUGGAGGAAAGUAGGUUGUAGGGACGCAGAGCAAUUGAAGAAGGCAGGAAGGUCAGAAAGUUAAUUCCUAGGGGAUGAUAAGUUACCAACCGAAGGAGGACGCCCUAACUAAGUACCAGCCAGCAGGGGCGGUAAUAGGGAGGGGGCGUUAAUUGUAAGGAUUUAUUGUAAAGAAAGGGUGGGUGGGCGGCCAAGUAAGUUGUGAAAGAAAGGUCAUCAACCAACCGUGGUAAGCAUUUGAAACUGGAAGGGAGUAGUUUAGAGGAGGAAAGAAUUUCUCGUAGUGCAGUGAAGAAAGUAGUAGAUAUUAGGAACACCACCAGUGAAGAAGACCACUUUGAGGAAUAAUAACAAUGAUGAGGCAAAAAAGGGGGAGGAAACAACAUGAUAUACCACCGUGGUACUCCCCGCAAUAAAUGUUGAGUAGCAGGUGGUAUCGGUCAAAUCUUAGUGGCGCAGCUAACGC